rnacentral:lncRNA from 1 species
GGUCCUACUUUUUUUAUGCUGCUUUUUUUUUGGUGGUGCUGGGGAUUGAACUCAGGGCCUUGUGCAUGCAAGGCAAGCACCCUGCCAACUGAGCUAUAUCCCCAGCCCUUGCUUUUUCUUAUUUCCCUCCCUCUCUCUCCCUUCUUUCUUCUGCCCCCACAUUUCCAGUGUUCCCCUUUUCUCUCUAAUGGGUUUAGAAGUUCCCAUAUGUAUCUGAGUUAGCCCUGCCCCUCGAAUGGGCAUUCCAAGGCCGAGCAACAGGGCAUGGUGGAGCACGCCUGUAAUCCCAGCAGCUCAGGUGGCUGAGACAGGAGGAUUGAGAGUUCACAGUCAGCCUCAGCAAAAACAAGGCGCUUACAACUUGGUGAGAUUCUGUCUCUAUAGCUAGCUAGCUAGUCAUUUAUUUUAUUUAUUUAUUUAUUUAUGCUGGGGAUUGAACCCAGGGCCUUGUGCAUGCAAGGCAAAAACUCUACCAAUUGAGCUAUGUCCCCAGGGAGACCCUGUCUCUAACUAGAAUACAAAAUAGGGCUGGGAAUGCGGCUCAGCUCAGUGAGCUCAGUGAGUGAAUGCCCCUGAGUUCAAUCCCUGGUACCAACAACAACAAUAAUAAUACAAGACUGAGCAGCAUCCACCCUUGCUCAGGUUAAGUGCUGUUUGCAAGCAUUUCAGUGCUGCCCUCCCGUGUAAGCCCACAUACCAGACCCCCAGACUCGGUUGACUCGUUUGUUCUUGGGUCUGGGAUUGAACCCAGGGGCGCUCUAUCACUGAGCUACAUCCCCAGCCCUUUUUAUUUUUAUUUUGAGACAGGGUCUCAUUAAGUUGUCCAGGCUUGCCUUGAACCUGCGACCCUCCUGCCUCACCCUCCCAAGUUGCUGGGGUCACAGGUGUGGCCACCACGCAGGCUAUUUUAUUCUUGUGACUUGAUUUUUGUCCGAUUCUUUGAAAAACUUUACAGGAUGUGAUUGAAAUUUACUGACUCUACUGAUCAGUUUGGGGAGGUUGAUAAGAUGACAACAUUACACGUUAAGACUUUAUUUACCAUCUUUUUAAAAAUAUUUUUUAAGAUAUUGAUGGAUCUUUAUUUUAUUCAUUCACCCUGGCCAGCAGAAAUAUAGUUUUAUUUCAUUUAUUGCUAAGAAUGGAACCUGUGCCUCACACAUGGUAGGCAAGUGCUCCACCACUGAGCCACAAACCCAGCCCCCCACCCCUUUUUUUUUACCCUCUUUCAGCCAAGUUUUGUAAUUUUGUACAGAAAGUUCUUGUUCGUUUUGGGUAGAUUUAUUCCUAGAAUUGUUAUAACCUUGGAUUGGUGUUAUAAAAGGUACUUGUCAAGUACAACAUGUGAUUGUAAUUCAGAGUUUUCUCACGGAGCACCUGGCUCGCUUCCCCAGCAGGUCUGUCAGGGCCACAGCGCCCGCGGGGCUCCCCCUGUGGGCCCAGGCCAGCCUGCCUUCCAGAGGAACUGCCCCCGGUUGUCCUCAUGCUUUGAUGACUGAAGUUCACAACCCUAACUGCUCUCGUUUGUUUUUCAGGUUUUACUUUGUUGCUUGCUUAUUAAAGAACAUUCAAUAAGCAGCUUUAUUGAGUUACCCUUUGCACACAGCAUACCAUUCACUCACUCUAAGUGGACAAUUGGGUGAUUCUUUGGUGGACUACAGAGUCGUGCAACAUGACCACAAUUCAGCCUUAGACUGUCUGUAUCACCUAGAGGAUCUGGACUCCGUGUGUCCCUGUUCCCACCCUGCCUGAGAUAAGCAUGCACCCUUUCUGCCACUACAGGUUUGCUUUUUUAAAAAGCAUUUCAUUCACAAUGGUUUAUUAUACAUUUUAUUAAGAACCGUGAGAAAGGCGUCUGCAGGCUCCCAAC